GUUUCCGGGGCGGGGGAGGGGCGCACUGCUCCAGAACUGGACCGAGGGCGGGGCUCCCCUCUGCUUCUCCCCUCUGUUCCAGCGCUGAGACGCAGGCCUUUCCUGGCGCGAAGCGACUCGCCCCGGAGCUCCCCUGCACCGUCCUGGGUGUCAGGACGCGUCAACCCAGAUGACCCGACCCGGAGAUCCUGGAUCCUCUGCCCUCUUCCCCCUACCAAGUCCUUAACCGGAGAGGGAGGAGCUACCAAUGUCCUCCAGACGUUCUCCAAAGCCCGAGCUGCCGGGAGAAGCUUGCUCAAGGCGGGUGCGCCCCUCAGACGUUUGUUUGCACGCAGGGGUUUUGACGUUUCGCUAAGCAACAGCGUUUGCCAGGGAAUCAGGGCUGUUUCGAAGAGCUUGCGUCUAUUUGAUGCUCCCAUCUUGAACAAAUCGUUUCCAUUCGAUUUGUUUAACCAAGGCGAGGGCGGACUAUGUUGUUACUUAAAAGUUAUUCUUCAUCCAAGCUGUCCUCAGAUUUUCAUCUAAGGGUGUCAUAACACCCCAGGUCGUUGCGCAAAUGUUUUGUGACAAUUUAGAAAACCAGAGGGGGGAAAUAUCCUUAGAGAAAAAAUCAUAACCAACAAGAAAAUUAUGUUAAAUGAUGUUGGUCCUUUUUCAUCGGAUGGUCCCAGUUGACACAUAGUCUUUUACAAAACCAGUGACUAUUCACAGUCUUCAAUUUAUGGCACAUCUCCCGGUGGGGGCGAAGUGCAUGAAUGGGUCCCACCUUAUUCACCAGCUGAAACUCUGAACAAGCCUUGGGGUUUCCUCUCCCAAAGACUGCCAGGCUUCACUAAGAAUCAAAACAAAACAGGAUACUAAAUGCCUGCGUCAUACAACAGGUCACUCAGCAGGCAUGGGACGUCCCUGGAAGGGUUAACAAGGAAGAACUCCAUCUUGGACUAUUCCACAUGAGAAAAAAGAGUGAGUGUGUCUUCCUGUCUCUCUCCUGGAUCCAUUUGCCAUUGGUGAAGGUUUACCCCAUGGAGAGAUAAACACCCCUGAAUUGGAUUGUGUCAUCUGGCCGCUUGGCGGCUCUCAGGAAGGCAGAUCCCAAGCUCAAGGUGUGGUACUUGUUCCAACUUCAAAAGUAAAGCAACAGGCACUCUGGAGAUCUCAGAAAGUACACAAGGUUUGUUUCUCAAUAUAAACGAAGACCUCAGAGUUUUUUCCUUCAGAUUCUUGCAAACGCCUACUAAGAGGACUUUGUACCUCUCACUUACUCCCUUCUAAUCCAUUCUUUACACUGCACCUACGGUGAUCUUUGCCAGACUCAAAUCUUUCACUAGCUCUCCUUAAACUCCAGGAUACACUCUAAGAUCUCUCCUUGCC
rnacentral:lncRNA from 1 species